GAUGAACGCUGGCGGCGUGCCUAAUACAUGCAAGUCGAGCGAACGGACGAUAAGCUUUCUUUUCUGAUGUUAGCGGCGGACGGGUGAGUAACACGUGGAUAACCUACCUAUAAGACUUGGAUAACUUCGGGAAACCGGAGCUAAUACCGGAUAAUAUUUUGAACCGCAUGGUUCAAAAGUGAAAGACGGUCUUGCUGUCACUUAUAGAUGGAUCCGCGCUGCAUUAGCUAGUUGGUAAGGUAACGGCUUACCAAGGCAACGAUGCAUAGCCGACCUGAGAGGGUGAUCGGCCACACUGGAACUGAGACACGGUCCAGACUCCUACGGGAGGCAGCAGUAGGGAAUCUUCCGCAAUGGGCGAAAGCCUGACGGAGCAACGCCGCGUGAGUGAUGAAGGUCUUCGGAUCGUAAAACUCUGUUAUUAGGGAAGAACAUAUGUGUAAGUAACUGUGCACAUCUUGACGGUACCUAAUCAGAAAGCAACGGCUAACUACGUG
rnacentral:rRNA from 1 species